rnacentral:rRNA from 1 species
CCCAGCAGCCAUAUCACUCUGCAACUCACAACUGACAGCCCACUGAAGCUCAGCAGGUGUGAGGCUGGUCAGUACCUGGAUGGGAGACCUCCUGGGAAAAACUAAGGUUUCUGCUGGAA